UAUCGGCUGGAUGUUCCAAAAAUCAUUAAUUAUAACAUUGAAAUAUAGUAGAUCAAUGUAGCAAAUUUCUGUCAAAUGUAAAAUUUACAAUCUUGCGGCUGUGUGUGUAUGUGUGUGGUCGCUGGCUGGUUGAAAUUUUGAAGCGAGAACUGACACUUGGCAUAAUUUGGUAAUUAUCACUUAUUUAUGUACGUAUUUUGAGAUAUGCAACCCCGAUUUUUAUUUUCAUUGUCGAUUAACUAUCACUAACACAACUAAUACUAAUUAGUUAUUCAAGCUUUUAAUAACAUAUAUUUUUUUAUUUUGCAAAACCCUUGAUUAUUCUUCUCUCAAGUCAUGUUUUUAUCAAUAUUUUUUUUAAUAUAAAACUUUGAAUUCUUUCUGGACCAUUUUUUCGGAUUUUGUUUACGUGACUCUGUCGGGCAGGAUGCGGUCGUGUAAUAAAAUGGUUCGUUAUUUAAACCAUUUUACGAAUUUCUUGAGAGAAAACGCUAAAUGUGCUUUGGAAAUAUGUCAAUCAUAAAUUCAUAUAUACUCGUGAUUUCACAGAACAAUUCACGGACAACACCUAUACAAUAGACACAAUUAUUUAAAAAAAAUGAUAUUUUGUACAAGCACUUUUGUAAAUUUUAAACGUAUAAAAAAUAGCGACACGCGCGUGUUUACAUGCUUGACGAUAUGUCAAUACGGCGUAAUGAAGAUAAGCCGCAUUACACAACGAGAUAACACCGAUGCAAAGAAGGAUGAAAGUUUAUUAUUAUUUGAUCAGCAUUUAUACGCUGAGCAAGUCGUGUGAUAUUUUGUUCAUUAAUAAAGUUCCGUAUCUAUACAAUCUUCAAGUAUGAGUAUUUCAAUCUUCAUAUCAAACCAAAAAUUGAUUACACACGCGUAGCUUAGCACAUAUUCCGUCUUUCGAUUUUUGUAAACGUAAAUAUAUUCUUGAAUGUUUUCAUUCAGUUUAAUGUUAUUAUUUAUAUCUUAGCCACGGAGGAGAUAUUUUUCAGUUGUCGUUCUUCUCUGUUGAGUAACUUCUGAUCUUUUUAAAACCUUUUUCUCGUAUCGCGUAGCAAAGAGAUAUGCGCGUUUAAGGGUCACGAUGCAUUUAUCCGUGGUGUUAUCGAGGAGUUCGAGAGAUACCAGAACAACGUAUCGCUAACUCGCCAACAGAGAAUGUGUCUGUUCUUUUCAGCUAUACAUUUUUUGCACUUUUUAUUUUUAUCAGUGACGAGCGAUCAUCGUGAUAUUUUUUUUCUGCAAAGAUUUGAAAGUUUUGAAGCGGAAAAUAUCACUUGCACAUGUAUGUUGCACCAUCACAAAUAAUAGCCGGUAAAAUAAAACUGAUGUGCAAUCUUGAAAAAAUCUAUCUAUGCCAGGUUGAAGUUUCCUUUUUCUUUUCAAGAACAGUACAGUAAAACAUUAUAAAGCACAAGCUCUAUUUAUUUCUUGUAAUUUUAAUACGUAUUUCUUGCAAAUCUUUCAGACGAUCCUGCUGGAUGCAAUUCUCACAAGAAGAAAGUUUUCAUUCAAUUACAGAUAUGUCGUGACACGCACUAUUGCGAGAGCAGCUGGUAGUAACCUGCGUAUAAGUCUUGAAUAAAACGCGCAGUUUCAUGUGAUCGCAUUGACAAUAUGUCAAUUAUGCUCGCUACAGAGGGAGGAGAGUAUAGAAAGAAGAAUACACGAGCGCAGAAAGUGUGUAGCUGAACAGAGGAACAGAGCAAGCGAACAGAGAAUCAAAGCAUCAGUGGUUGCAUAUACAACCGGAACAACCGGCCCCGGAAAGACCGGAGAGCACAAAAAGAGGGCGAAGCGUGAAUCGUGGAGGUGAGUGUGGCCGCAAGAGAGAAGACAAAGAAGUCGUGCUGUUGUGCUGCUAGUGCGGGAUGCCGAACCGUGGGACUUACGUGGGUAUUAUACACGAGAAACUGUGUUUCUUCUUCGAUUUCUUCCCAUCCCGCAGAUGGCCGGAACUGCAGUCCAAUCGACAUGACCCAAGUAGUUAUUUAUGCAACACUUAACGUGCGAUCCGAGGGGUGGCUGCCGAAACUGGGGUGUGCUACGGCAUUUCUGCAUCCCCUGCAUUCUCACGCGGACGUCGAUACGUAUGAAAAGAGCUACCUGUGCAAGAGUGUCAUUUUUCAAACAGGUACAUACAUGUAUAUGUGACCCGCUCGUUUUCAUUGUGUGAUUUUUAUCGUGACGUCAUCAAUGGACAGGACGCGUCACGAUAUAACGGCUUUGAUAAUUUGCCCUUCCUUGCUUUUCUAUCCAAAUAAUUUAUAAAUUUAUGCUAAAGACAGAUGUAUUUAUUUCAUCUAUUUUUCAACAAUUUCUGAUGAAAUAAAAAAGAAUAUCAAAUAGAAAAUGGAUAAUACAAAAUAGAUGGUAACAAAUCAUUGCUAAUAAAAAAAUAUAUCAACGCACAUUUAAUUAAUUUAAUA